CCCGGGUCUCCGCGGUGUCCCAGGAGCUUUUGCUGACAAUUCCAGUUUCCAAACGAAACAUCUGGGCAAUGGUGAAGGCUUCAAUACCUUCUCACAUUUUCUGUCAACAAUGAAUGGAUGGAUGUGAUGCCUGCUUGUCGAAAGGUGUCCCUCUGUACGGUGCAGUCCUGUGGCAUUAUGCAUGCCCUCAACCAGUGACCUCCAGACUUUUUAUGGCUGUGAGACACAUUAAAAAUUCAGGGGUAAGAAGUGACCUUUUGAGGUGACUGUAACAGAAGAUUGCUUUCCAGAAGCCAAAAAAGGUAAAUGCAAAUAUAAUUAGUGGAAUUACGUUAAGGACUCUAUCUACUGCCUUCUCGGCAUCUUAAUUCAGU
rnacentral:lncRNA from 1 species